rnacentral:lncRNA from 1 species
CGCUGUGUAAAUUAGACACAGAAUUCAUGUUUCUUGUUUUCUCUCUUCCUUAACAGUUUCUAAACUACUGUAACACAGCACAAGGAUCUAGUGGCGGCCUUAUUACCUAUGGACCUACUUCAGGUUGUUUGUACUGAUCCUGAUUUUGCUUCAAUUAGACUCAUCUCUUCCCGUGUUAUAGAUUCUCACUAGAUAAAAAUCCUGUUGGGAUAUUUACUAGAUUCAUACACUCCAUCUAUAUAGGGAUGAAAAUUUGAAAAUGAGAGCAUUACUGUGUAAUGUGUAUAUUUCAAAACAGGGGGUGGGGGGAGUCUGUGUAAUGUUCAAAUUCAAAUUUUGCACAGGAGUUCACUCGAAAUUUUCAAUGUAAACACAGUAAUUAACGUAGUUCUCAAUAGCGGCCGGAGUGCCCGCUAUUGCAGCAGAGCGACAGUGACGUGUGAUGCAGACUUCUUUCGCGUUGCGAUUGGAGUGGCUGGGAUCGUGCUUCUGACUAUGAAGCCCAAGUGAAAUCCGCCAUGCUGGAUACUCCGUGACCUCCCUCGUGCCGUUGCCAACCACUCACUCUUCCAUUUGCGUUCUGUAACAGGGACAAUUCAUUUUCACAGUGGCGGCAUGAGCUAACAAAGAGCAUG